UUUAAUAGCAGGAUGGCUUGGCAAACCUUCUGUGCUGCUCUGCUAAUGACACAGUGCCAGACUGCAAAAAUGCCACAGAAAUGCAAUGUAAUCAAUAGAGUAAGACAAAAGAGCAAUCAAUGCUUUAUAUUUACUUAAUUAAAUACUAUCUGAUGCUUGACCUCUAAAUCUUUUGGACUAAAUUGAGUUUAAUAUCUAAUUAUCAGUCACGUGAUUGGUAUUGAUUUAAAAUCAUGAUGUUUAAGUGAUCUGUUUUUCAGAUAUACUAAAAAAAAAACACAAAUGAUUAAAGCUUUCAUUAUUGCAUAUAGGAGGGGUACUGGAGAAAUUUUCAUGAAAACAAACAACUGUUUAGAUUGAAUGUUAUAAAGCUAGAGGAUUUUGCUAAGAUGAGUUUCUUUUGCUGCCUUUCUUGUAGUACUCCGAUGCAUUUUUUUUUCCCUUAGUUUAAUAAAGGCACUGGUGGAGCACAAGGAAUACUGAUGAACACAUGUCCAGUGAGACAGGCAAGAUAUUGAAGGAACUUGAGCUGCGAGGCUGGUGCAGACAGAGCCAGCUGGCUCUUAGUCCUCCCUCUAAAAGUCAGCUUUCAGUGGCCAUUAGAACAAAUUGAGAAGAUGUGUCUAAUGGCUUUGGAAGGGCUCCAUGCAGAAAGAAGGCUGGAUAGCGUAUGAACAAUGGGAGGUUUUCUCGUCCUUCCCGAGGUGAAAUCAAAUCACAGCUGUAGGCAGCGUCAGAAACGAAUCCAGUGACUGAACGGGAGUGGCAGGGAGGCUGAAUGACAUCCUUACACCCUUAAAUAGUAUCUGGCUGAGGAAUUGUAGACAAGCUGGUGGACGGUGGGUCCUGGCAAUGUCUGAGAAGUAUUUAUGUAUGUACAACUGCAUAACAGCCUCUUAAAAUCUUCCCUCAUAUUUACCCUUGCACCUGUGUGGUAAGGAAGUGUGAUUGUCUCCAUUUUACGGAUAAGGACAAAGUAUUCAAGGAGAGCAUUCACCGAGGUCUGUUGUAGCCCUCAGAGACUGGUGUGCCUUGCUU